rnacentral:rRNA from 1 species
UACGUAGGGGGCAAGCGUUGUCCGGAAUCAUUGGGCGUUAAAGCGCGUGUAGGCGGCUAGAUAAGUCUGCUCUGAAAGCCCGGGGCUCAACCCCGGGAGGCGGGUGGAUACUGUCUAGCUCGAGUCCGGAAGAGGAGUGUGGAAUUCCUGGUGUAGCGGUGAAAUGCGCAGAUAUCAGGAGGAACACCGAUGGCGAAGGCAGGUCUCUGGGCCACUACUGACGCUGAGGCGACGAAAGCGUGGGUAGCAAACGGG